CUGGGACAUUUUGACAGGUACAAUUAUUUCAAUGCUCAAUCGAAAGCUGUGAAAUGUAGGACAAAAAGAUUUGGCGGCUAAAAAACGGAAACUAUUCAAUUGAAAUAUAUUCAAUCAAAUUGAAAAGCUUUAACAAUGGCUUCUGAGGUCGGUUCAUAUACGAAUAAAAUCCACUACAUCAAGAAGAAAAUCCUCGAAGAGCUAACAAAGAAGCAAUAUGCACAGGUGUUCAUGCGGCCGAUGGACAAGCGCCACGGGGACUAUCAAAACGUAAUCAGGAAGCCCAUGGACCUGGGCACAAUCAUCACCUGGGUGCAGAACCGAUUCUAUCGGAAUGCGGACGAACUGAUAGCUGAUCUGAGGCUGGUCUACCGGAAUUGGUUUGCGUUGAAGAAGGGCAGUCCGAUCCUGUGCCGACCCGCUAAUCAGUUGCAGAAGUUCGUGGAAAACAAGCUGGUGCAAAUGCCAGAUGGCGAAGAGUUUGAGAUCAAGAAGGAUUCCAGGAUGACGGCCAGGUCCAUCAAGGACUUUCCCUGGCUGCAGUUGAAUGGCACGCAGGAGAUGGAACCCCUUUCCACUUUUAUUCCAAUCAAAACAGAGCCUGAUAGUGUGAGAGCAGAGCCUGAUAGUGUGAGAGAAGAGCCUGCGACUGAAUGGGUGUACGAGAUAUCAGAGCUCCCGGAGGAUCAUAUGCCGGACAGAACAGAGACUGUGAUGGAUCCUGUCUGGGUGUCUGCCGUAUCGGAGCCUGUGGAUGUGCCUAUGACAACAGAGACUAUGGAUCCCGUCUGUUUGUCUGUUAUACCAGAACCUAUAGACGAUCCAGUGCUUAUGAUACCGGAUCCAACCCCUAUGAUAACAGAGAUUAAGGAUGAUCCGUUGCCUAUAAUAACAGAGACUAUGGAUGAUCCGUUGCCUAUGAUAGCAGAGACUACGGACGAUGCCAUCUUCUUGAUAACAGAGACUAUAGACGAUCCCAUUAAUUUGAUAACAGAGACUAUGGACGAUUCCAUGCCUUUGAUAACAGAGACUAUGGACGAUCCCGUGCCUUUGAUAACAGAGACUAUGGACGAUUCCGUCUUCGUGAUAACAGAGACUAUAGACGAUCCCAUGCCUUUGAUAACAGAGACUACGGACGAUUCCAUCUUCGUGAUAACAGAGACUAUAGACGAUCCCAUGCCUAUAAUGACAGAGCCUUUGGAUCCUGUCUGGAUGCCUAAGACACCAGAGCCUUUCGAUGAUCCGCAAACUUUUAAAACAGAGCCUAUGUCGCCUGACUGGAUGUGUGUGCCCGUCAAGCCUUUGGUUAAUCGAAGGCUCUGGAACAUACUGCCCAAAAAAGAGGAUGUCAGCGAUGAGGAUGAUCCAUUGCGUAUAAUUACUAAAAUCCUGGGCAAAGCGCAGCUGGAGGAAUACCUGAGGCCAGUGGAACAGCCCAUCGAUGAAGCUGAUCCUGAGGACUUUGAGAACAACUGCAAGAUGUGGGACAGGGGCGUGGAUGAUCUGACGUCGUGUGAGCUGCACAUCGUCAUGCACAUAGUGGUGCAGCACAAUAUGCCAGCCACCGUUAGAAACGGCAAAGUGGAGUUCAGCGUAACGAAGUUCUCCCACCAAGUCGUAUCCCUGAUCAAGGAGGGUCUGCAUCUGACGAGACGCAGCUACCAGGCGCUGGUGCCGCAAGUAAUGACCCCCGACGACCAGAAGAUAUUGACCGACAGACUGCAAGCCCAGUUGGGCGAAAUCACAGCCAAGUUAUCCUCAAAUCGCACGGCUGUCAAAAGGAGCAAUACUACCACUAGCACCGCUAGCACUGCCUGCAAAAGUCUGGAGCCGGAGGAACCCUUCGGUCCAGCGGCAAUGGCGAAGAUGGCCCGUCUAUCCGAUGAAGAGGAGAAGGUGGAGGUGCAGGAAGUAACGGAAAAGCAGAGGAAAAAGAAGCGCCAUAAACAUCAUAAAAAAUCGAAGAAACAUCGACUAAACGAAAGGAAUGAAGAGCAACCCGAAUAAUAUGUCUACAAAGAUUUGACCUCAUAUCUGAACAUUAUCGAUGUAUGUCAAUGGUAAUAAACAAAGUCCUCCAUCAACCUCAAGUCAAGGUGCGCGAAUUCAAGUUAAGAGUCCACAAAAACAGAGAGGGAAACAAACCAUAUCUUGUCGGACAACGCCCAACGUUUAGGCCUGUCCGUAAAAGAAAACAAUUCCUGAAAAAUACUGCGUCUCGUUUGCUAUUUUGAAUGCUGCAUUUGGUAAAGUUUUGAGCUGGAAAUGAUGGGAUAUUUAAAUGAUUUAACGAUCAACUUCGACUAAUAUUUUUAAAGAUUUUUAUGUGUGUUUCCCAAAGCGUUCUGAUUUCUUUAGCGAAAUACAAUUAAAUAGAAUUUUUACCAGAUAAAUUAAAGGGCGUAUCCCUUAAAUUUCAUUACCAAAACUCAGCACAACUUCCUGUAGAUUUCCUGAAUCGAUAGAGCCCAGGCCCAGCCCCCGCAACGGCUCGGGGCAUUGAAUGCUCCACUUUGCAUACAGUAUGCAUUGCGUGUGUAUGUUUUUUUUGGGAGACAAUUUCUUGUUCCAGGUGGCUGCCACACCAUCGCCGCUCCGAAAGCUCUGCAUAUCCAUCCAAAUUAGCAAUGAUAUAUUUUAUGUGUGGGCGCACCUUCGAUGAGGGCAAAAUGUGGAAUGUGGAGUUGCACUUACACAAAAUUACACAGUUGCUGGUGUCUCUCUGUCUCUCCCCCAGGUGUCUUUUCUGUCUUUCUUUGAAACUCCCACAAACAACCAGCAACCACCAAAAAAAACAA